CCACCACCAUCCCACUCAACCAUGAAAGUGAAGUUUCAGCUACAACCCGACGACUUCAACAGGUGCAUGAAAUCUACAAGGACCUCACCCGAGAUGACAUGAUGGAACGAUGCAUACAGGGACGAACACAAAACCCAAAUGAAAGCCUUCACCAAAGAAUAUGGGCGUACUGCAACAAAGCCCUGUAUAGAAAUAAGUGGCAAGUUGAUUUCUCCGUCAGCCACGCGAUAGCAGAGUACAAUGUAGGAUACGAAAGAAGUUGUCUGGACAUACAACUUGGAUAUGGGCGUUCCUCAUUGAACCAAAAACGUCUGAAGGAUAUGGACAGAUAUAUGCAGAGACUCCAAACUCCAAGAAGCAAGAAGAGGAAGACGGUGGUGGACACCUCCUAUGAAGCUGGAGGCCAUUAGAUGAUCCAUGUCCAUGCCUACUCUUCGUCAAAGUUUGAUGUGUAUGGACCGUCAUGAUUGGCCAAUCUGAAAGGACUUCAGGAUGGAGGGAUCUGCAUGGAACUUCAGAAAUAUGUUAUAUAUGCUCACUUCUACUCCUAAUAAACAUAAGAAGGCA